GCACAGAAGUUGUCUCUCUCUCUCUCUCUCUCUCUCUCUCUCUCUCUCACACACACACACACACACAGAGAGAGAGAGAGAGAGAGAGAGAGAGAGAGAGUCUGAUGACAGAG